rnacentral:rRNA from 1 species
CAAUAGCGUACAUUUAAGUUGUUGCAGUUAAAAAGCUCGUAGUUGGAUUUCGGAUGGGAUUUGCCGGUCCGUCGUUACGAUGUGCACUGGCCAGUCCUAUCUUGUUGUCGGGGACUAGCUCCUUGGAUUCACUUCCUGGGACUAGGAGCUGACGAGGUUACUUUGAGUAAAUUAGAGUGUUCAAAGCAAGCCUACGCUCUGAAUACAUUAGCAUGGAAUAACACGAUAGGACUCUGGCUUAUCUUGUUGGUCUGUGAGACCAGAGUAAUGAUUAAGAGGGACAGUCGGGGACAUUCGUAUUUCAUUGUCAGAGGUGAAAUUCUUGGAUUUAUGAAAGACGAACUUCUGCGAAAGCAUUUGUCAAGGAUGUUUUCAUUAA